rnacentral:rRNA from 1 species
UACGUAGGUGACAAGCGUUGUCCGGAUUUACUGGGCGUAAAGAGCGCGCAGGCGGUCGAUCAAGUCGAGUGUGAAAGCCCCCGGCUCAACUGGGGAGGGUCAUUCGAUACUGAUCGACUCGAAGGCAGGAGAGGGUAGUGGAAUUCCCGGUGUAGUGGUGAAAUGCGUAGAUAUCGGGAGGAACACCAGUGGCGAAGGCGGCGACCUGGACAGAUACUGACACUCAACUACGAAAGCGUGGGUAGCAAACAGG